GAUGAACGCUGGCGGCGUGCUUAACACAUGCAAGUCGAACGAAGCACUUAUGAUUGAGAUUUCGGUUGAUUGACUAAGUGACUUAGUGGCGGACGGGUGAGUAACGCGUGGGUAACCUGCCUCGUACAGGGGGAUAACAGUUAGAAAUGACUGCUAAUACCGCAUAACCCGCUAGGGCCGCAUGGCCCCGGACGGAAAAGAUUUAUCGGUACGAGAUGGACCCGCGUCUGAUUAGCUAGUUGGUGAGGUAACGGCCCACCAAGGCGACGAUCAGUAGCCGGCCUGAGAGGGUGACCGGCCACAUUGGGACUGAGACACGGCCCAA
rnacentral:rRNA from 1 species